rnacentral:rRNA from 1 species
GACGAACGCUGGCGGCGUGCUUAACACAUGCAAGUCGAACGGAAAGGCCCUGCUUUUGUGGGGUGCUCGAGUGGCGAACGGGUGAGUAACACGUGAGUAACCUGCCCUUGACUUUGGGAUAACUUCAGGAAACUGGGGCUAAUACCGGAUAGGAGCUCCUGCUGCAUGGUGGGGGUUGGAAAGUUUCGGCGGUUGGGGAUGGACUCGCGGCUUAUCAGCUUGUUGGUGGGGUAGUGGCUUACCAAGGCUUUGACGGGUAGCCGGCCUGAGAGGGUGACCGGCCACAUUAGUACUGAGAUACGGCCCAGACUCCUACGGGAGGCAGCAGUGGGGAAUAUUGCACAAUGGGCGGAAGCCUGAUGCAGCAACGCCGCGUGCGGGAUGACGGCCUUCGGGUUGUAAACCGCUUUCGCCUGUGACGAAGCGUGAGUGACGGUAAUGGGUAAAGAAGCACCGGCUAACUACGUG